GUCAGUAUUUUUCAGUAAAUUGUUGCCCAUUACACAUUAUGCAUGUAAUAGUGAAAUGUUUUAUGAACCGUACGAUAUAUUUAGAUAGUUUGAGGUAUAAAAUAGUGUUUAAUAAAUUCGUGUUUUAAAAUAUAAAAUAGAGUGUGUCUGCGCUGAUUCCUGCGUAAAAAAGUAUCAGCGUCAUCAUGGAGUCCAUGUCUAAGCCAUAGACUUAAAGUGACCUAGUGACCAUGUCAUGGAUUAAAUUGGAUUAAGCCCCCUAAAAAACCCUAAACCUCUAGUGUUGGGUAGUACAAAAGAUGAGUUUUUUUAAAAGAGAUGAAGCAUUGGAGAGUAUAGCAACAAGACGAUAUUAUGUUCUAUAUUCUAUUAUGAUCGUAUGUAAUUAUGUCCGUCUACAAUUAUAUUACUAUACUAUAUAUAGACAUAUAAAGAAAAUCAGAAAAUGUGAGUGCAGUGAAUGAGUACAUACGCGACGCGUAGUUAGUUUGU
rnacentral:lncRNA from 1 species